AGUUCAGAUUCAUUUAAUCUAAGGCUUGGAUUUUGUAUUACAAAACGAUAAAUUCAAACAGCAAUGAGAGCAGCAGAACGCAGCUCCCAUCUAAAUCUAAAUCCCCAAAUUUUAAACAGACAAGCGACAAUUGUGUGAUUGAGCAAAAGCAACCCAAACAAGAAGAUGAAGAAUUUCUACGGCUUUUGUUGCCUAAUCUGGACGAAUUGCCGCAAGUUCCCCCUUCCUCUAUUGAAGCCAAUUUCACAACUUUUUUCGCUCCAGAUUUGAUGAAGCCUGGACAUGAUCAAUAUGUUCAUCGUCAUGCCAAUGGCUAUGUGUAAUUGGUUUGGCUCCGCACCACGUGGCUUUGAAGAAGAAUGGGGGGAUUGUUUCGGUCGAUUUUAAUGUUGGGAAAUUGGACCUUAGCGGAAUUAAAGUCGCUGGAAAGCGCAAAAAGAAUGCACAGCAUUUUGAAUCCAACACGGCUUUAUAUAAAGUGUUGACUGCUGAGGGUUCUUACAUAAUGUUGUGUAAAAGGGCCUCUAUUGGAAGUGAAUGAUAGGCUAAUCAAGCAACCGGAAUUGCUUAACACGAUGAUAGGUGAAUUUGUGUCAUCUUCAAUGGCUAUCCAUUCCCUCAAGCUACGCUUGUUUUUGUGAUCACUCUUAAAGUUCUUGGUUCCUAUCUCCUAGAAGCUUUUGAAUUGUCCAUAGAAGUUGAACAAAAAAAAAAACAGUACGUUGAACAACAUAACGGGGUUCUGUGUUGCUUGCUGCAUUAGGAUUGGAAAAUGGAAAUGGUAACAGAUAGGCAUGCUUGAUUCUUAAAAUACUUAAUAAUGGGUAUUGCUUCUUUAGAUCUCCAAGAUCAUUAAAUGUAUUUAGCCAAAUUCAGUUUAUUUUUCAGUCCAUCCAUGAUCAUUCAUUAGUAACACUAUCAUCUGUGACUGUAGCCAGAGGGAGAGGGGUAUGUUGCAAUUAUGAUGCCAAGACCUGCAGAUUGGCUCAAAGCCAAGGCCUCUCUGCUGGACUUUGAAAGCUAUAAGAAGCUGAGAACGAAGCAGUGAGUUGAUUUAUGCUCGCCAAUCCUUGCUUCCUUCGAUGUAAGUCAUGAGGGGUUGUUGCAACAAACUGCAUUGUCAGCCUUUUGAAAAUGUGGAUGGAAUUUGUAACUCUAUCUGAUUACUUGAUAUAAAAAAAGUGAUCAAACAUUAUCCUUCUUUCCUAAUUUAUUUAUUUUGUACUUUGUAACAUUAUCUGUAACUCUAAUGCUACCUCGUUUAAGGGACUUAAACAGAUAUAUA